GUCGAAUGGUAACAGGAAACAGCUUGCUGUUUCGCUGACGAGUGGCGGACGGGUGAGUAAUGUCUGGGAAACUGCCUGAUGGAGGGGGAUAACUACUGGAAACGGUAGCUAAUACCGCAUAACGUCGCAAGACCAAAGAGGGGGACCUUCGGGCCUCUUGCCAUCAGAUGUGCCCAGAUGGGAUUAGCUAGUAGGUGGGGUAACGGCUCACCUAGGCGACGAUCCCUAGCUGGUCUGAGAGGAUGACCAGCCACACUGGAACUGAGACACGGUCCAGACUCCUACGGGAGGCAGCAGUGGGGAAUAUUGCACAAUGGGCGCAAGCCUGAUGCAGCCAUGCCGCGUGUAUGAAGAAGGCCUUCGGGUUGUAAAGUACUUUCAGCGGGGAGGAAGGGAGUAAAGUUAAUACCUUUGCUCAUUGACGUUACCCGCAGAAGAAGCACCGGCUAACUCCGUGCCAGCAGCCGCGGUAAUACGGAGGGUGCAAGCGUUAAUCGGAAUUACUGGGCGUAAAGCGCACGCAGGCGGUUUGUUAAGUCAGAUGUGAAAUCCCCGGGCUCAACCUGGGAACUGCAUCUGAUACUGGCAAGCUUGAGUCUCGUAGAGGGGGGUAGAAUUCCAGGUGUAGCGGUGAAAUGCGUAGAGA
rnacentral:rRNA from 1 species